rnacentral:rRNA from 1 species
AUUGAACGCUGGCGGCAUGCUUUACACAUGCAAGUCGAACGGCAGCGGGGGGGAGCUUGCUUCUCUGCUGCGGAGUGCGGAAGGGGUGGGUAUUACAUUGGAACGUACCGCGAAGAGGGGGUUAACAACCCGAAAGGGGGGCUCAUACCGCAUAAUUUCUGAGGAAGAAUGCUGCGGCCCUAGGAUAAGGACUAGCGAUUUUAGAGCGCCAGAUGUCGGAUUAGCUAGUGGGUGUGGUAAAGGAUCACCAAGGCGAAGAUCGGUAGCGGGUCUGAGAGGAUGGAUCGCCACACUGGGACUGAGACACGGCCCAGACUCCUACGGGAGGCAGCAGUGGGGAAUUUUGGACAAUGGAGGCAACCCUGAUCCAGCCAUGCCGCGUGUAUGAAGAAGGCCUUAGGGUUGUAAAGUACUUUUGUUAGGGAAGAAAAGUCAGCUGUGAAUAAUGGCUGAUACUGACGGUACCUAAAGAAUAAGCACCGGCUAACUACGUG